ACUUUAGUGGCGAACGGGUGAGUAACGCGUGAGGAACCUGCCUUUCAGUGGGGGACAACAGUUGGAAACGACUGCUAAUACCGCAUGACACUUUUGAGGGACAUCCCUUAAAAGUCAAAGCUUUAUGUGCUGAAAGAUGGCCUCGCGUCUGAUUAGCUAGUUGGUGAGGUAACGGCUCACCAAGGCGACGAUCAGUAGCCGGUCUGAGAGGAUGAACGGCCACAUUGGGACUGAGAUACGGCCCAGACUCC
rnacentral:rRNA from 1 species